UGAAAAAACACCAACAGAUCCACACCAGAAAGUAAACUCUACAAGUGCAGUUACUGUGAGAAGUGGAGCAAAGCACAUGGAUCCACUUCUCAACCCUGUCGUCACUGUGGUGGUGGGAAAGAGUUUCUCUGUGACCUUUGUAGAAAAACUUCCAAUCAUCAACGGGACCAAAAAACCACAUCAACAUAGCCACACUGGAGACAAAAUGAACUACUGCAAAGAAUGUGGGAGAGACUUCCACACACCAAGUACAUUAAAAAUACAUGAACUCUUCUACAGUGGGGUCAAAAAGCACAUCUGUGACCAGUGUGGGUCAUCCUUCACCACUGGACAUGAGCUCAAUGAAAAAGCAUAAGCGAAUCCACACAGGAGAGACACCAUACAAGUGCAGACACUGUGACAAAAGCUUCUCACAAUCAGGUCAUCGUAACAAACAUGAACGUACACACAUGGAAGUGAA